AGACGUAUUAUCAUGCUGUACCGAUACGGUGAACCUGCGGAGGGAUCAUUACAAGUGACCCCGGUCUAACCACCGGGAUGUUCAUAACCCUUUGUUGUCCGACUCUGUUGCCUCCGGGGCGACCCUGCCUUCGGGCGGGGGCUCCGGGUGGACACUUCAAACUCUUGCGUAACUUUGCAGUCUGAGUAAACUUAAUUAAUAAAUUAAAACUUUUAACAACGGAUCUCUUGGUUCUGGCAUCGAUGAAGAACGCAGCGAAAUGCGAUAAGUAAUGUGAAUUGCAGAAUUCAGUGAAUCAUCGAAUCUUUGAACGCACAUUGCGCCCCCUGGUAUUCCGGGGGGCAUGCCUGUUCGAGCGUCAUUUCACCACUCAAGCCUCGCUUGGUAUUGGGCAACGCGGUCCGCCGCGUGCCUCAAAUCGACCGGCUGGGUCUUCUGUCCCCUAAGCGUUGUGGAAACUAUUCGCUAAAGGGUGUUCGGGAGGCUACGCCGUAAAACAACCCCAUUUCUAAGGUUGACCUCGGAUCAGGUAGGGAUACCCGCUGAACUUAAGCAUA
rnacentral:rRNA from 1 species